GCGGCACCGUCCGCUCAAACAAACGG
rnacentral:misc_RNA from 1 species